rfam:Ophiostoma piceae TAMH 11346 chromosome Tnknown scf15, whole genome shotgun sequence.
UCCGAUAUGGUGUAAUGGUCAACAUCCGACGCUCUCACCGUCGAGCUCGGGGUUCGAUUCCCCGUAUCGGAG